rnacentral:rRNA from 1 species
GAUGAACGCUGGCGGCGUGCCUAAUACAUGCAAGUCGAGCGAACAGACGAGGAGCUUGCUCCUCUGACGUUAGCGGCGGACGGGUGAGUAACACGUGGAUAACCUACCUAUAAGACUGGGAUAACUUCGGGAAACCGGAGCUAAUACCGGAUAAUAUAUUGAACCGCAUGGUUCAAUAGUGAAAGACGGUUUUGCUGUCACUUAUAGAUGGAUCCGCGCCGCAUUAGCUAGUUGGUAAGGUAACGGCUUACCAAGGCAACGAUGCGUAGCCGACCUGAGAGGGUGAUCGGCCACACUGGAACUGAGACACGGUCCAGACUCCUACGGGAGGAAGCAGUAGGGAAUCUUCCGCAAUGGGCGAAAGCCUGACGGAGCAACGCCGCGUGAGUGAUGAAGGUCUUCGGAUCGUAAAACUCUGUUAUUAGGGAAGAACAAAUGUGUAAGUAACUAUGCACGUCUUGACGGUACCUAAUCAGAAAGCCACGGCUAACUACGUG